GUUGUGUGUUGUUGAUUGUGGGAAUAUCACAUUGGCGAUCCUGCCAUACUAGAUUCGUUGGAUAGGAGAAUGAUUUUAUUCAAAUUCUCAGAUUGUCCGGUCAAGCUGUGCUCUAGGGAUGACGGAUGAAAUUAUCAAAAUAAAUUAUCAGCGAAGCCGACCCAAUCCAACGGCUGAAGACGUUACAACAACAACAAGAAGAACUAGCAACAACGUUAUCAUCAUUGGUUAGCACUACGACGUAGCAACCGACAAAAUCCCACGGCCAUCAGCGAGAACUGCAACAACAGCAUACCUGCACAUAGCACAUGAAUUGCAACGCUAACAGUCACCUGAACCGAACACCUUCCUGCGAAGUCCGACGACGCGACAGCCCAAACGUAAUGGAAUUUGCUGAUAUAGGGAAAUAGAGUCAGGGACUUAAGCUUUGCUUGAAUGUUUAUUGGAAGGAAUAAAUCAGUCUGUUUUAGUCGUUACUAGUGAU